rnacentral:rRNA from 1 species
AGAGUUUGAUCAUGGCUCAGAUUGAACGCUGGCGGCAGGCCUAACACAUGCAAGUCGAGCGGAUGAAGGGAGCUUGCUCCUGGAUUCAGCGGCGGACGGGUGAGUAAUGCCUAGGAAUCUGCCUGGUAGUGGGGGAUAACGUCCGGAAACGGGCGCUAAUACCGCAUACGUCCUGAGGGAGAAAGUGGGGGAUCUUCGGACCUCACGCUAUCAGAUGAGCCUAGGUCGGAUUAGCUAGUUGGUGGGGUAAAGGCCUACCAAGGCGACGAUCCGUAACUGGUCUGAGAGGAUGAUCAGUCACACUGGAACUGAGACACGGUCCAGACUCCUACGGGAGGCAGCAGUGGGGAAUAUUGGACAAUGGGCGAAAGCCUGAUCCAGCCAUGGCCGCGUGUGUGAAGAAGGUCUUCGGAUUGUAAAGCACUUUAAGUUGGGAGGAAGGGCAGUAAGUUAAUACCUUGCUGUUUUGACGUUACCAACAGAAUAAGCACCGGCUAACUUCGUGCCAGCAGCCGCGGUAAUACGAAGGGUGCAAGCGUUAAUCGGAAUUACUGGGCGUAAAGCGCGCGUAGGUGGUUCAGCAAGUUGGAUGUGAAAUCCCCGGGCUCAACCUGGGAACUGCAUCCAAAACUACUGAGCUAGAGUACGGUAGAGGGUGGUGGAAUUUCCUGUGUAGCGGUGAAAUGCGUAGAUAUAGGAAGGAACACCAGUGGCGAAGGCGACCACCUGGACUGAUACUGACAC